UGGGCAACGUGGUGGGGGCACAUGUGCACGCGGGCCCUGCCUGCGGGAGGCCUCCCCCUCCUCCCUUACCACGCGCCCUUUCCCUUGUUCCUCCCCAGCGACACUCCCGCUGCCUCGCGCGCUGGCGCUGUGCGGCCACGCUGCGGGACAGCUCAAAGACAGCCAACUCCGGUCGGGAAGCGCUCCUUCUUUUAUUUCCACAGAAGUAUCAUCAGCUCCAUUUGUGCAUUGUUUUAAAAUCCAUGUUUUCUUAAAAUUUGAAUCCUUUGUAAUGUUUAAUUCUAAUCCUCCAAUAAAAAUUCCAAAAAGCCUGCCUUCCCCCACAUCCAAACAGCUACGCGUCACAGUACCUACGGCUCUUCGUGACCUAUUUAAUCAGGCUCUGUUCCAGCAUCCACACCGCCUCAGUCAGUCUGGCGUUUUUUCCACAUCCACAAACGCCAGAACCAUCUCAGAGUAUUCAAUACGCGUGCUCAAAUCUCUGCCAGGGAAUGUUUCACCUGCAGGGGACAGCGAGUGCAAACAGUGCCGCUGCACCCUCCGUGCGCAGGGCUGACUCGCUCGGGCUCCCCUUCUCCCCGUGCUGAGAGGGGAAGAGAGCAGAGAAUUCUGUUGCCUAUCCAAAAAUCUGCACGGAGUUUCAGAUUCAAUGGGUAAAGAAAAAAAUAAACCAUUACCAAAUGCCUCUUCUGUGCAAAACAUUGAUGCUAGGCGUUUUAUUUACAUUUUUUCCAUUUAAUCCUCAAAAUACCCAUUUGAAGUAAAUAGAAUUAUUUCCAUUUUAUAGGCAAUGGAACUGGAGCCCAGAGACGUCCAGUGUUAAGCAGGUAGGAGUUCCAUCAGAUUGCACUACACUGUGCUACUUCUUCAGUUCACGAGAUGGUCAGAUCAAACCCAAAAGAGGUAGCAAAGACAAACCUACUGAGAACCUGAAUCUGCCCCUAUUUUGGCUGGUGAUUUCACAGGACUAUGACAACGAAAAGGUAGCCAUCUCUUCGUCUCCGAGCAGAGUGAGACUGCAGUGCAGGCACACCCCCUGGUCAUCUGUGUGCCAAGGCCACCAAGGACACAGGCGUUGGGGAAAGCUGGAGCUGUAUCUAAUACGUUUUAGAGGUUUCGGGACUGACCGGAGUGUACAGAAAGAUGCCUUGAUCCGUGAAGGUUUCCUAGCCAUUCCCAGGACUUUCCAGACUCAAGGCGUCAUUGGCGCCACUCAGACAGCCCCAGGAGAGCAUAGGAGUCAGCCCAAGUUUCAGUAGUCAACUGCCUAAAGUUAAGGGGAAAGACUGGCAAGAAAUGAGCCACAGAUACAAGAAGCUUAAUAAUCUGCCCAUCAUCGCAGCGUAGGAAGGCAUCACAGAUUUGGCAGAGUGACCCUUAGAGGUCAGUCUCGUGGAGGGCAGCUACCAGGCUAAGCCACAAAGCAGCCUUUGCGUUCACUGCCCGGAGUACACUUGUCCAAAGCCACUGAUGAGAAGGCACCGAUCCCAGCUCUGAGGCCUGCAAUCAAGCACCAGAGUUCGACUCCAACGGUCUCAUACGGAAGAGGCUCUGUGGUGUCGCAAGACCCGAGUUGGAGUCCUGGUUCUGUGACCUUUGAUAAAGAAACUCAAGCCCAGGAAAGCUUGAUUGAUAUGAGGAAGCUCUUAUCCUGACCAACGGCUGAGUGCUUGCAGAUUCAGAGCAUCAAGAAUUUGGAUGAAACGCGGUGCGGAUGGCCUGUUUCUGCUCCUUAAUGUCUGGGCUCAGCGAAGAAGAAUGGCUGGAGGAGAAAACUGCUAGGCUUGAAAUCAUCUGGAGUCUCUUUGCUCGCGUGUCUGAUGCCUGAGCAAGGGUGGCUGGCACGCUCAGCUGGGCACUGUAACUGUAAACCAGAGCACCUACACGUGGCCUCUCCGCGUGGCGUGGGCCCUUCCCAGUAUGGCAUCUGUGUUGAGGAGCACCCCAAAAGGAAGCAGCCAGGAGGGAGUGUUCCUGGGAGGCAGGCCGGCGCUGGACGGCCUCAGAUGCACGUCACACAGCCUCCCUGCUGCUGCAUUCUCCGAAGCCAGAUUCGGGGUAAGAGACUCUUGGCAGACAGCUCCCAGGGUUACAUUCCAAAGAGCACGUGGGGUGGGAGAGGCUAUGGCAGCUGUCUUUGGAAAACUCAGUCUUCACAGUUAGCACAAUACAUUUCCUAUGUCAAUAACAGGGAAUGGAAGAAAAAUUCCCGAAGUUGGGCUCUAAGGGUUAUAAAAGAAAUAAGCAAAUAGCAAGAGCUUUCCUAUAGACCAGCAAUAAAUAGGUAAGAAAAUUGGGGGGGGAGGGGGAAUGAUCCCAUUUAUAUCAGUGCUACAAAAUAUAAAAUAAUUUAGAAAAGGGUUUGCAAAUUAUGUUUAGCCAUAAGAAGAAAACAUUAAAUGUUCUGGGAGAUAUUUUUAAAAAAUAAAAUGGAGAGAUAUAUUAUGUUUCUUUAUAAUGUCAUUUCUGACCAAAUUCCAUAUAUCAUAUUCCUGAAUAAUGUUUCUUCUCCAAGUGUAACUCAAUUCCAAGAAAAAAAUCUAACAUAGAGAUAUAUGAAUUUAAUAAAAUUAAUGUAAAAUGCGUCAGGAAGAAUGAAAUUGUUAGAAUAGCCAAUAGCCUUAUUAAAUAAAGAAUAAAUAAAGAAAUGUAAAGCAUACCAGGUAUUAAAAUAUGGCAAAGUGUCUAUAAUUUAAAUAAAGGAAUUUUUGGUAGUCCAUUGGGUAACCAUACACCUGAGAUCGUCCCAGGUUAUACCUCUUGUCCCAGUAUAAUUAUAAUUCCUUUUACCCCUAAAAGUGUUUUAGAUGAUAAAUUGUAUGGCCACCUUACAAUUAAUCAUAUAUAUGUACCUCUACUCCUUCCCCAAACCCUACUUAAAUGGCAGUAAAUAUAUUUUCUAAAGAUUAGUCACAAGGUCCGAGAGGAGAUGGAUGGAUGGGUGGGUACACAGGUAGGGGGAUAGAAAGAUAACUAGAUGGAAGGAUAGGUAGAUGACUAGGUAUAUAUAUAACAAGUAGGCCGAUCAUUCAAGCAAGAAGAAGAGGAUCAAGCAGUGAUAGGUGUGUUGUGGUGAGAAUUAAAAUUGGGUACACUGACCAAGAGUUUCCUUGGCUAUUUUUGGAAGAAAAUGUUCUCUGAGGACAUUAAAUAUAAAUUGACAUUUGAAUGGCAAGAAGGAGCAAGUCAUUCAAAAACUAGUACAAAGGCCAUAAGCUAAGACUAAAUCUAGCUUGUUUGAAAAACUUAAUGCUUAUGUAUCUGAAGCUUUGUACCUAUCUAAGGUGAAGUCUGGGGGUAGGUCAGAUCACUUAGGGUUUUGUAAGCUAGAGUAAGAAGUCUGGAUUUCAUUCUGAAUGAAAUGUGAAUCAAUUAAAAAUUUUAAGUGGAGGAGUAACAGCUCAUCAACAUUUUUAUAUAGGGAAGGUACGGAGGAUGAAUUGUGGAGAGACAAGAGUGGAAGCUGGCUGCUGGAUCGGGUGGCUAUUGCAGUGGCCCCAGCAGAAGCGAACAGUGUCGUAGGCAAGAAGGAUAGAAAGAGAGUGUUUGGAUCAGAAGUAUUAACAGGGCUUGCAGAAGCCACAAAGCAAAAGAUUGACAGAUGCAGCUAUAUGGAAAUAUAAAUCUUGUCUAUCAAAUGGACUAUAAACAAAGCUAAAAGUUAAAAAAUAAAUGAAGG